CGGUUAUCAAGAGUGAACGAGAGUACUGGCUCAAUGACUUCACAGCAACCUACCCUAAAAGGUAAGGUGCUCCUACCAGCAAAGCUUGCUUUGGAUGAUAACGA
rnacentral:ncRNA from 2 species